AUAUUGACAAUGUACAUAUGUUUAAGAUUGAAAUCUUGUAAAGAGAAAAAGCUGAACCAUGGGACCAGACCUAAAGUGUUCAGAAGUUUGGAUUAUCAUUCUAGGGUACAAAUCGCGCAAGGGCAUUACGCUCAUGGACUGGUUCAUUUGAUAACGUUCCAAUAUAUCUGUUACCUAAUUUUAAACUUUAAAGCUGAAAAUGUAUACAAGUGCAUGUAUUAGGCCUUCUCUCCACUCGAUAAUAGUUGACCAUAAGUCCUUUGUGAGCUUCAAUUCCUUCAAUCGGGUAUGUUAUGGGAAGAGAGGAUCGGGUCUGGGACUGUUUAAGUAAUACUGGUCAUAUUAGAGUUUAAAUGUUUUGCAUUACGGGGAUAGUUCUGUGGGCAUCAAAUUACAACAAGUCUUACCAAAGAUGUUUAUUGUUUGUCAAUUUUAUGUUCCUAGAUAGAAAUUAAACAUCAAAAUAUUACAUUUGCCUCAUUCGCAGUUGAUGCUUGAUUAAAACAAGGGAAAAACAUUCGUCUCCUCUGAAAUGUAGAGUGGGAUUUUCACAGUUAAUUUAUGUUAUAUAUGUACAUGUACCAAUCUGUCGUCAUUUUAUUAAUUUUCCUCAUUUUGUUGUUACUAAAGAUUUAAAAUAAUGAAAUGCCUGCAUAAUUUAAUAAAAUUAGGAUGUACAACUGUC
rnacentral:sRNA from 1 species